rnacentral:rRNA from 1 species
GGGUGCGAUUCUGUGGAGUUUGAGGAGCUUAACACCUUCAUGCUUUUCAUAUUCGUGCUCUUGGGUGUACUUGCCCGUGUGGUUGGUUAACAUCAAUUUCGGGGGCCAUAAAAUGACUGGAGGAAUGUAGCUUCGAUCUUGUAUUGAAGUGUUAUAGCCUUCGGUAGAUGUGGUGAUCGAGAUUGAGGAUUGCAACGGAUACCUUUCGGGGCUACCUGUCUGAUCUCUGAUCGUUGCUUUGGUGCUGAAAGCUUGCUUAUAGUUAUCAAAGUCGAUGGUCAAUAGGUUAGAAUGGGUUAAAUUCGUUAAGGAUGUUUU